rnacentral:hammerhead_ribozyme from 1 species
GUCCUGACGAGUCCCAAAUAGGACGAAACGCACGUCUUGGAU